CUGUCGUUGGAGAACCAGCUGACAAUGACGGUGAUGACUCGGAAGGCACCUGACAUUACCUGGAGACAGCUAAAGAAACUGGAUCAACAGGCAUCUAUUCAGCUUGCAGACGUGGAAGGCCCUGCAACUGCAGAGAAUUGGUUUCUUGUGUAUCUGAUGGUAAUUAGGGAAACUUCUGAGAAAGUAAGACAGACAUGGAUGUUGCAGUGGCUGGCAUUUGCAGAAGACCCUAUACUGCCACCUGAUGCAUCUAUGACCAGGAAAGAAUGAUAGAAGCUUACCUUGCAUGAGAUGACCAGCAAGCUUUAAGAAUUAAAAAAGGGGGAGAUAUGGGGGGCACAUGGCAACAUAUUCAAGCUUAUGUACAAGGCAUUCGAGGUCGGGGCAUGGAAAAAUAUUGAGGCAUUGUGUGUAUGUUAUUUGUGCAUGAGAAUGAAACUCGACCCUGAAAACAGGACAAGGAGUGGAGUGUGUGGUGUGAUAAGGAACGCUGAAAACAGCCUCCUGAGAAUGCAGUUUGAGUGUUUUUACAAG